GCUUACGACCAAUUUUUCUCGGAGGGGCAGAGCCCAGCACUGGAGUCCCCACCCAGCUAUUACCUGUCUGUGCAGCGCACGGCCGCGGCUCUCACCUGUGCGGGCGCUUCUUAACCGCUCCCUCUCCUCUGGGCCAUGGAGAUCCGAACCCCAGGGUUCUACGGCGCGUUCCAUCGCCAGUACGCCGCCCUGGGCAAGGGGACAGACACAUAAUCCUGUGGUCACCACAACCAUGUGCGGCCCGCGGACCUUGCCGCUGCCCUCUGUCGGCCGGCGCGGGCACCCGACACCGGGCGCGGUUCCCGGUAACUCCCGCCGGCGCCACCGGCCACCCCUGCACCUGCUGCUCCUCCUCCCAGCACGCAGCCGUCCCUCUCACCUCGUCAGCCGCCUCCAGCUCAGCCACCCGGUGCCCUCCCAAGUUCCUCUGCAAGGGUCUUGCUAAGUUGAUGAGGUUGGCCACAAACUUGCAAUCCUUCUGCCUCAACCUCCUGAGUUAAACAGCAUGAAUGCUGUGAGUCACACCUACUUGUGGCUGUCUCUCUCCCCAGAGGACUGAAAUGCUGACUUAAUUCACCCUGUCUGGAUCCUUGGCAACUAAUCCACAAGAGCAGUCACUGGAUAUUAGCUGGCAGAACUACCAUAUUGCUCAGCUCAUGUAAUAAUAAUAACUAGCAUUUGCAUGAGCUCAUCUCAUAUGCCAAAGCACUAUUCUAAGAGUUUUGUGUAUUAACCCGUAUUAACCCACGUGCCGUAGUCUGUCUUUUCUUUUUUUUGCAGUACUUGGGAUUAAAUUUAGAGCA